UCUCCGUGAACCAAUGGCCCCCUGAACGCGCAUUGCACUCUUGGGACUUCCUGAGAGUAUGUUUGCUUCAGUGCUUAUUUUACCUCCUUGCAAGGUUCUGUCGCAACCUUGUGCCCUGGCCAGCCAUGGGUUAACUUGCCCAUGGCUUGCUGAGUAGUGAUCUUUCAGAGCAAGCUCUGGCACGCUGUUGUUUGAGGCAGCCUAUAUUGAGGCUAUUUCAAAUGACGUUGCACCAAGUGUCCUUCUGCGCCGUUGCGCAUCCCAUAGCAUGAAGUCAAACAAGAGAACCCGCUGAACUUAAGCUU
rnacentral:rRNA from 1 species